rnacentral:RNase_P_RNA from 11 species
GGGACUGGCUGCGAAUACACACGAAUCCACGAAUCCAUGAAAAAAAACGAAAAACACAAAAUGAAAAGUAAGUCAUAUUUGUAUUACUUCAUUAUUGUCCCAUUGUUACUAUUGUCACUUACCCUCAUAAUUGAGUCACCCUCAUGAUGUUACAUACUUCAUAAGCGGGUUCAAGGUGGGAGCACCUGUGACUACACACAAAUAAACGAAUGCAUGAAUCCAUG